rnacentral:rRNA from 1 species
ACGGUUACCUUGUUACGACUUAACCCCAGUCAUCAGUCCUGCCUUCGACGGCUCACUCCUAUUUCUAGGUUAUGCCACCGGCUUCGGGCAUUACCGACUCCCAUGGUUUGACGGGCGGUGUGUACAAGGCCCGAGAACGUAUUCACCGCAGCAUGCUGAUCUGCGAUUACUAGCGAUUCCGGCUUCAUGAAGUCGAGUUGCAGACUUCAAUCCGAACUGGGACGACCUUUUUGGGGUCCGCUUAACAUCACUGUCUCGCUUCCCUCUGUAGUCGCCAUUGUAGUACGUGUGUCGCCCAGGCCAUAAGGGGCAUGAUGAUUUGACGUCAUCCCCGCCUUCCUCCGGUUUAUCACCGGCAGUCUCGCAUGAGUCCCCAUCUUACUGCUGGUAACAUGCGACAAGGGUUGCGCUCGUUGCGGGACUUAACCCAACAUCUCACGACACGAGCUGACGACAACCAUGCACCACCUGUGUGCAUUAUUUCUAUCUCCCUAUCUCUAGGGCAUUUAACGCCAUGUCAAGGCCUGGUAAGGUUCUUCGCGUUGCUUCGAAUUAAACCACAUACUCCACCGCUUGUGCGGGCCCCCGUCAAUUCCUUUGAGUUUCACACUUGCGUGCAUACUCCCCAGGCGGAGAACUUAUUGCGUUAACUGCAGCACUGAAUCU